UUCUUAUAAGGAAGAAUGUUCAUAAGGCAUCCUUAUAGGGUGGAGGCAUAAACUGCAAAAUGAAAUGAUUCAGAGAAGCAUUUCAUCGCUUUGAUUAGGUUAUGUGUAUGCAACCCUAUUGUAAGUGUUGGUAUCUCUACUUUGGGAGCUAAAGAGACCACCCUUUCUGAGCUGACCAUCUCUUACUCCAGUGUGAAAAACAGCCGUCUUGAGGCCUUACAAUGAAAUUACUGCUGGAUGAACCCAGAGAAUCACCUUGUGGUUUUGAAUUAGAGUUUCUCCAACUACAAACUUGAGAGGAAAAAUUCAUAUUGUGGCCUCGCUCUGACAGCAUUGGGGCAGUGAUAUGAUGAAGACAAGCAAAUUUUCCAUGGCUGUAUACCAUGGAAAGGUAAAAUGUAGCUGGCCACUUCCUCAGUUUGGCAGUCACAAGUAUGUGAAAAGAAGCUACUUCUGCAUUGCCAUGAUUUUCUUUGGCCUAAGAUUACGUAGAAGAUGCUUGAUCAAAUCAGUCAAACUCGGGCUUCCCGCUGUGAAUCCAACAGAUGAUAAAUAUAAACUUGAGUUCUCAUGAAUUUUCAGCCAUGAGUCCAUCUGGGAAUAAUUCCACUGAGAGAAGAAGGCUUCCAUUCUAUCAAGAAAAAAGGCUGCAUGGAAAUCAUGGAAAGCUACAGAAAAAAGUAUCAGUCAUUGUUUAAAAGCACUGUGGCCUGUGAAGAUGGAAACCAGAAUGGGAAUUUGUUUCCAAAUUUUAUAAGCUUCUAGAAACUAAAAUGAUGAGAAACAAAUGCAAAAAGUUCGCAGAAGUACCAGUUACUUAAAAAAAAAUCUUAAGUCCUUAUUCUUUUAUGAUGAAUAAAACUGAUUAGAAGGAUAUUAAUUAACCAGAAUUAUAGCCAUCAUUUAAACAGGUAGAGAUAUUCCUAGUAUGUUUGGGUUGCCAACUGGAUUAGUUUUAUACUUCUCAGUUGCUAACAAUGAAGUUAUCAGCCACUGGAACAAAUUAUUGAGAGGAACAGUGAGCUUACCAUUUCUUCAAGUCUUCAAACUGAGAGUGAAUGGUAUGCUUUAGCAAACAAUGGAGACACAGCUGGGUGAAAUUAUAUGGUUGUACUAAAGAACAGGAAACGUGAGAUGUUCUAUGUGGUCCUUUCUAGCCUUAAGAGCUAUAGAUCUAUAAUUUCACAAAUACCAUUACAAAGAAUUCCUUAGAAGUAGUGAUGACCACAGCAAUAAUGUGAAUCCCUCUCCUGAUUUGGGGUAGAUUAUUCUAAAGAAUUUUGAAAAAUUACAGGCUACGGGACUGUUGCUAUGUGGUACUGUCAUUACAAGGUUGUGUAACUAGCAUAAAGGGGGCACUUUGUAAUUUUACAGUAUUAGAAAUCCCUUUUUGUGGACUAAAGAGAC